UCAAAAUCAACUAAUGGUUAGUUUGUCCAAUUACAAAAGCUGCUAUAAGUUAACAACACAAAGUUGUUGUUUUAGAAAGAUUAAAAAAAACCAUAAAAGUGUACAGAAUAAUAAUGGUGCAGGUUGAGCUUUCAUCUCGUACUAUCAAACAUUUUAAAUAAUAACAACAAUAAUAAUAAAUAAUAAAUAAAAUAAUCAACACAAAUAGUUAACA
rnacentral:lncRNA from 1 species